AGUGCAGCUUGUAGGAGAAAAUAUAAGUGACAACUUCAACAGUCAUCAGCAAGCGACUGGCUAUAAAACUGGCACACCCAUUUGGUUUAUCGGCUUUAAGAGCCCAAGGAGCUCUUGAGGGUCAGCAAGGGGCUUCCGACUGCAAGAGCUGGGGUCAGAGGCCGGAAGCCUGUAACUCCCUCCCAAGCGACCCAGCUGCUGGAGGCAGCCAAGGUGUUGAAGUCCUGCUCCUGCAGUGUCCCCGCCCCCACCCAGCCAGGGACACUGAGACACGUGCUACAGCAACGAUCAGGGGCCGCCCCUUCCAGCUCAGUCUUUCCGGACUCAAAGUCAUGACUCCUGAGGAACAGCUGCAGAGAAGGUGGGGGUCCCCUCCCCUACCAACCCCUCAGAGAAAAGCACAACAGAUGGGCAAAAAUGGGGAAGGUCUAUUCAAAGAAGGGUCAGCAAAGCUCAGGGAGGGAUGGGGUCUGCCUCCCCAAUUCAAGUCUCUUUAUGUUUGUUGCUGAUAAAAUGGAGAUAAUUCUG